GAAUCUGUGCAGAAAGAACGGAAAAAGAAAGUUAGGCAUAACUACUAUAUACCACACAAGUCCGCACAGACCUCAAUUGACAUCUCGCAAAAUAAAAAGGAAAACAUUUAAAAAAAGUAAUGUUCCAAAGUGUUUCAAAUAGCACUCAUAAUAAUCUUUGGCUUACUCAUGGAGCACAACAGCUAGAAGAGAGGAGAAAAGGGCAGUAGUGCAUGUACAAGUGCCACUAGCUAGCGCUAGUUCCCUAUCUACAGAUUAUGCUGAAGCAAGAAGAGUGAGCUAGAGACCAGGAGCACAAUAGAUAUAUAUAGAUGUGUUUGUGGAGUUGUGGUAUAGUGGCUGCAAUUGUAGCAUGCAUAUGCACUUGCUUUGCUGUUUUAGCUCUCUACUGUUCCUGAACAGCAGGUGAACUUGAGCUAAACUCUAGGUGGCCGUGGUAGUGGUGUGGCUUCUGUUGAAACAAAGGGCUCUUCUCGAUCCCGUUGCUUUCGGCUCUAUUGCUUGUGGGUCAUUCAUGUCUCAUGGGUGUGGGGGGUGAUGCUGACUGAGUGCUCUGCCACUAAGAACAGAAGAUCGAUACUCGUUUGAGAUCUCUGGGAAAAAAGAUGAGAAAACAUUUGUGUGCAACUUGAGGGUUUGCAAAUCGAAAAAUGUCACUCCAAAGAACUGUAAAGUGGCGUCCAUUCUUUCUUUCCUUGUCACCAGACACUAUUCAUCUAUAAACGUUGACCGUUCUUUCUUUUGCGAAAAAAUAAAUAUUAAUAAUAUGCUGUAUUAUCAAAUUAUUUUUGCAUGCUAAAUAUAUCUAUACUACUUACGUUUAUUAAAACAUCACAAUUUAGAACUUUUUACUGGUCAAAGAUAAAUUUAAAUUUACAGUGGUCGAUCGAUAUUGCCAAAUAAAUAGGAACAUACUGAGAAUUAGUGUUCAUUUGUAGAUUCUAUUACUACUGAUACUGUUGAGCAAUUUUAUCAUCCAACAUUUAAUAUCUCGAGGUACCACAUUUUGCAUACAAAAUUUUAGUACCUCGAGAUACUAAGUAGCAAGUACCUUGAGGUAUCAAAUUUUACACUAGAGGUACUAAAUUUAUACUACUACCGUACCUCGAGAUAAAAAAAAUAUAAUAUCUCGAGAUACUAAAUGUUGGAUGGUAAAAUUACUCGGUAAUAUGAGAGAAGCUCUCCGAACAAAUGAUCAAUAUUGUCGUCCUCUCAGCUCCAUUUAUUGUCGCACUCCUGUUACCACAACAAAACACUGCUGUGGAUUGACCAAAGUACAAAUGACAUUAUUGUACCUUGAGCUCGAUCUCAAAGCUCUGGCCGGCCGGUUGUGUCUUUGUACGGUCCACAAUUUAAACCGUUGUUUUUCAUGGAUAAACCCACGUGAUCUCCCCUCUUCCUUUUCCCCUUUCCUUUUUAAUUAUCUCAUCCCUUUUGCCAAUCAUGUGCUAAGCUUGAUGGUGAUUGGCCAGCUACACUUAACCCCAAAAAUAACAAAUUAAGAAUUGGCUCGAUUACCAUAUAACAAGUGUUUGAUCCAUGGAGGGAGACCAUGUGGUCGCGUGCUUGCAGUUCUAGAACUGAUCGAUCGAUAUAUGCAUGCGAGGAUGGAUGGAUCGAUGGGGAGCGCGCGGGCCGUGCGUGCCGCCACAUGAGGCGACACAGGGGCGAGAUCGAUCGAUAUUGCGAGCCUGCGAGGCUGGCAUGCACAUGCAUGCGUGCAAGAUGAAGGGGAGCAUAUGCCGUUUUUCUUUUCGUUUCUUUUACUUUCUCUCUGAUCCCUUCUGUUGUUAAUUGAUAAUAAUCUUGGUAUGUUUGUAUGUUCCCAAGCAAAUCAUAACCAAAAUGUAGCAUCACAGAAAAAUCUGGUAAAAGGGCAUUUGGGGUUUGAUGAGUGCA